AUUAAAGUACUCAUGAUUUUCAGAAAACAUGACAGGGACCUACUAUGUUGGAGGCCUUUCCUUAAUACCCUGUUUUCCCAAUCCAAUUAAGCAUAUUUUUUUUUAAAACAGUAAAUGAUUGUUUGAAAACAUUGCACACUGCUCAUAUUUAAAAUUUGCACAUAAUUUUAAAGUGUAGCAUAUGUUUUGAAAAAUAAUGUAAGUGUAAAAACAGGUAAUGGAAGUUACUCAAGUUUAGAUCAACUAAAGGGCCUUGAUUUUAAAAUGUGAUGACUGAAAUGAAAUAGGAAAGAGAUGUAAUCUGCUGAAAACAAUCAGGAAAUGACAUCAGCAUAAUUCGAAUGUUAUACAAGGCUGUGUACAACAUAAAACAGAGCAUUACUCUCCAAACGUCUUUUCAACUAGAAUGAUGAUUGUGUACAUUUAUAUUGUCCUUCUCUCAGAGAUCCCAGGUAGAUGCCAUUUAAAAUUAAGCCUUUACGAUUUUGAUUUUAAUUUUAUUAUCAUUAUUUUAAUUUGUUAAAUGACAUUUGUUUCGUUCAAUCAAAGCAGCUGUUCUGGGAGUGACUUUGGAACAAGGUCAACAGACGUUGGUCAAAGCAGUGGGCAAAAUUUCAUAUCUCCCCUGCAAAGUGACCGAAUUGCAGUCUUGGAAUUAUAUCCAUUGGUACCAAAAGAGAGAGGGUGAAGCUCCAUCAAGACUACUGUAUAUCAAUGCAGGCGGUAGCUUCACUCAUGAUACCAACAAUCCCCAAGCAAAUUACUUCACUGUGGACAAAACACAGCUCUAUAAUCUGAAACUGAGCAACACAAAGCCGAUUCAUGCUGCAGUUUACUACUGCGCCUACUGGGACACGAGCAACCACAGUGAGAACAUCCACACUCAUGCUGUACAUGAACUACUGGAUAUUAUCAUUAGAUAGUAUUCAUUAGAUUUGACUCUUUUGAAGAGAAAUAUGACAUCUGCUAUUCUUAGAGCUGAUGUUUCAUGUGUAUAUAAACCCAAUUUCCACUUCCACUAUUAUAAGUCCCUGAAGUUCAACACAUGAAGAGCAACAGGUGUGAUUUUUUUUCUUUCUUCAAGCUUUUAUCAAAUAAUCUCUUAUAUUUGUAGUGUUUGUACACAGUUGUUUGUUUGACAUGCAGAUCUUCAACAGUGGAUGGUGCUAUUGAGCUGCAAAAGAGGAUUUUUUUCAGCUUUAAGUCUCUAUGAAAGUUAAUAAAUUACUUCUAAUAAAUUGCAUUUUACUAAAUUACUUCUGAUAAAGAGAAUCUCGACGAUAUAUCAAAUACAUCAGUCAAAUGUAACAGCUUUUGAAAUAUUUUAUUCUGAUUGCUGUACAAGUACAAAUCACAUCACGACAGCAUUUAUGUUCAUCAUAGCUCCACCUCAGGAAAUGAUGUCACUGAACAAUUUUCUGCAAAAAUUUUGGCAAAAUAGUGUAAAGAAGUGUAGAGGAAACGUUAUGAACCAUAAAUCACCUCACAUAACCAAAUGAACAAUGCUCAUUUUCAAUGCUCGUUUUCCCUUUGUUCUUCACUUUUCUGUGCGUUUGACUUCAUGGCAUUGUUUUGACAUGUGGGUGGAGUCGAGAAACUGGGGCGUGUUCAGCGGGCCUGAGCUAAUGUAUUAAAGUUUUAUUAAUGUUACUGUGGUAUGAACAGGGCGGGGCGAGAGCCGCGGGAGAGGAACGAGGCCGCUGAAGUGAAUGCUAAUGAGAGACACCUGCGAGAAACACUGGCCUCGAGUCUGGAGCUUUUAUUAUGCUUAUGCUGCAGUCUUCUGCUCUUUUCGUUGUGUAUGUGGGGUAACGCAGCGCUGUUUUACAUGGUUAAAACAAUCAUACUAAAUACAUUUGAGUGUGUUGAAAGUUGUUAUAAUGUGACUCUCUGUAUUUGCUCAGUGGCUGAUAUGAGAGACUUGUUGCACUUUGCAGUAAUCUAGAUCGAUAUUAGAAUAUCAUAUUAAUAAAAACUGGAUGACUUGUGUUGCUAAAUGACAAAAUUAAUUUUAAAAUAUAUUGUAUGAUGGAGAAAGCAUUUAAACAUUGUCGGAAAAGUUUGGGAUAAUGUAAGUACACAAGUCAACAAAAUAUACAACAUUGUUCUUUUGGUUUUUGGUGAUUUUAAUCCAAAAAUCUUACAUAUUGUGCCUUUAAUAGAAAAAAAAAAUCUAAAGAAAUUUUCAAAUGGUUAAUACUGGCCUGUACAAAACAUCUGGACAGUCAGUUUUAUCAGUAUGUUCCAUAGUUGUUUUUAUUCAGUUUUUUUUUUUUUUUUUCACACAGUCAUAUGAAUCUUACUAUAAAAGAUUAAUUAAUUCAAAUAACCUUAAGCAUUUGUUCACAUAAUCAUAUUUAAAGAAAAAAUGUGCAUCUCUCUGAUAAAUAAGCAAAUAUCUCACAGAUUAUGUGGGGAUAAUGUAACAUUUGAAAUUCAUUUCAGCAUAAAAGACACAUGUAAGAUUUCUUUAAAAAUGGUUUCUAAGGUAACUCCAUUUCAGGAAAUGACAUCAUCACCCUAUUUUCAUACAGCACCCUAAGUUCAUACAAAAGCAGUGUGAAACCUGAAAGACAGCUUUACACCAAGCAAGGUAUAAUAUUUUUUCACCGGAUGAAUGAUGUUUUUAUACAUUUAUAUUGUCCUCCUCUUAAAGAUGCCAGCAGUUCUGGGAGUGACUGUGGAACAAGAUCCAAAGGCUUUGGUUAAGACAGUGGGCAAAACCGUGUAUCUGCCCUGCAAAGUGAACGAUAUGAGCUCUUCAGAUUAUAUCCACUGGUACCAAAUGAAAGAUGGUAAAGCCCCGUCAAGACUGCUCUAUAUCAGUAAAGAUGGUGGUGUCACUCGUGAUAGCAACAAUCCCCAAGCAAACGACUUCACAGUGGACAAAAACAAGCUUUAUGAUCUAAAACUGAGUGACAUUAAGAAGAGUCACGCUGCCGUUUACUUCUGCGCCUACUGGGCAGGCAGCCACAGUGAAAACAUUUACUCACAUCCUGUACAUGAACUACACUGGUAAAUCUAACUGAUGAAUGAAAUAUUUAUAUACUUUCAUAUUUAUUUACCUGUCAUUUUCUGUUUAAGUUUUCAAUUUGAAUUAAGCUGCAUAUGCACAGGAUGACUGGAUGAAGGUAUUUGGAUCUGUUCGGAUCUGAACUUUAUUGUCCUGCUGUUCAUUAUGAGGUUAUUUGUACACACUGUAUUAUUGUGAUUUGGGAAUAUGUCAGGUGUAUCUCAUAUUUGUUAUGUGUUGUGAAGAUAUAAAUAAAAUAUUUGGCAUUUCCAGAUUUGUAGUUUUCAGUUUGAUGAAGAGCUCAAAUAUCACUUGUCCUUGUGUGGUGAAAAUAAAUUCAGUAUAUUCAGCAGUGUGCCAACUUUAUGUGCUUUACACAUGUAUUUUAAGUCAUUUCUGUAUCAUUUCUGAAGCUGACAGACAUUCCACAAAUAUACUGGAUUAAUUGAACUAUAGUCUAAUUGAACAAAUGUAUGAAUAUUGUAGGCUAUAAUAUAAAAUAGAUCUUACAAUUUAUUUUACAAAUAAAAGCACAAAAAGAGUAGCUCUUUUUUCUCUCAAGUUUCUCUCUGACCAAUUUAUCAAUCGCCUCUCACUGUUUAAACUGCAGUGUGACUUUUACAAACAAUGUAUUCUGAAUAACAUCACAGAUUUUUAAACUAAAUUUUAGCCUACUCAAAGCAUCUUGCCAACACAGACAAUCUGUGAAACAUCUUCACCUGUUCAGCAUCUGUUUAAAUCAAGCCACUUUAUAUAAAAACCGAGUGCCACUGAGGAAGAGCCGCUUACUGUGAGAUCUGCUCUGGAGAAGCCUUUAAUAAACCAGGGUUAAAUUACAUGCGUUUAAUGUUGUCUAACCCAUGAUUGGUUUAACUUGUGUGAAAAACCUUGUGAUAGUGAUGUGACGAGAUAAAGAGGAAACCACGAGGUCAUCAUCAUAUCUUCUGAUUGGCAGAUGCAGUUCAUAAUUCAUCAAACUCCUGGAUGACAGAUGUAGACAUGGCGAUGUCUGGAAUGAUAACAUUUGUGUUGUUAGUAUUCUUAAUAGAUUGUUUAAAUGGACAAAAUAUUCCUAGGCAUCCUGACCGUGUGACGAUUAAGACAAAGGGUAGAGCUGCUAGAAUCAGAUGCAUUGUGGAUUCAUCGACGCUUCAGUCCAACCCUCUCCACUGGUACAGAGCUCAGUCAGGGGGAGCUUUCCAACGAUUAAUGUAUUUCGAAGCUGGAA